CUGAUUGAUUUUUUGAAGAAAUGCAAAUGGAUAAUGAUCAGGAAUAUGCACAAAGUGUACACGAAGAAAUAAAUUACAGCAGCAUGCAAAAUGCAACGUCGUCUUCGUCAGUGCACAGAAGUGGAAUUGAGAUACCAUUACGCCCAUUCGAAAUGAUCUAACUAUCAACAAUGCCUGUAUCGCAAGGUAAGUUUAAAAGAACACUAAGCAGAGAUAUGUUAUUCAUUUUUAAACUCAACGUAGAAAAAAAAACCCAGAUAAUGGGUAAUCUAACAAUAAUACAACAAUAAGGUAACCAAUUGAUUCGAUAUUAAUUUAAAUAUUGAUUUGCAUUUCCUUUUUUCGACAGAUAAAGACUUAUAAGGAUUAUAAAACAUUCAACCACUCUGUGGUCAUAUCUGAGGGUAUAUUCUAGAUUUUACAAUUUAUUACAUUCAAUAAAGACUAUACUUGCCGUUCACAAGAAUCUACACUGUAUUUUUUGUCAAAAUUAAAUAUGUUUGCGAUUACUUGAAUUAUUUAAUUACGAGUGAGUAACAGUUCAAUCUAUACAAUGUGUUUUCAGAGAGGUAAAUUUAACGAAAUUGGACUAUAAACGAAUUUUCUAAUUUGCUGUGUCAAAUGUAGGAAAUAAUUUUAGAAAUGAGUCUAUCUCCAUUAUGAAAACCUCGGACUUUCUCACUGUGGUUGACUUUAAUUUCUCGCUUACAAUAACACAGAUAUUCGAGAACUUGUUCGCAUUACAGAGAUUGCAAUACGAGAGACAUAAGAAAUCCCACUGCUAUAGCCAUAAUUCAUUGUUAAAACAACAGGUUCUUGGAUUCCUAACAACCUUGUAAUGUUUAAAAUCGGCCAAAUAUCAAAUCAUUAAUUUAAAGUUAUACCGGAGUACUAAUGAACGAUCCUAGCCUGGAGACUUACUUCCAAGUUGAAUGAUAUGAAAGAUUGUCCAGUUGGGUCCUUUUUUUAUAUUUGAACAUUUUUAAUAAGCCUUAGUCGUGACGGUUAUAAAUGCUUUAAGGAAAACAACGUCCUGUCAAUAUACAUGUUUUGAUCCGGUUUUUUUUUUAUUAAAUAGUUCAAUUGUUUAGGAAAUAACAAAUUUCUGUACAUGUUUUGCAAACCUGUUUACUUUUGCAGUGUUGAAGAUAAAAAUUCAGAGCAAAGGGUAACACCCCAAAAACAAUAUUCCCCAAAAAUGUUUACAUCAUCCUUUGACAUUUUGCAAGGACUAAUUAAAAUCCAGAAUAAAAUCAUCUAGCAAGAUGUAUAGAUGUCAAGGAUUAUCGAAGCUAGUUUACUUCACAUGCAUACUCUAAGUCUGACAACAGUAUAAAUGGAUAUUAUGAUAUGGGGAGUGUAUAUAUCUUGCUCAAAAUUUAUUUGACCGUAAAAUGAUAUAUAUUUCAAGUCGAUGCAGGUCUGAAAUAAUGACUACUAGGCUGGGGAUACCCUCAUUAGACCAGUGGAAGCCUAAAUCAAGCAGUUUUAAAAAAGUGUCAAAUGAUUCAGACUUAAAUACGACAAGCUUUAAUCAACAAAAUAGUGGUCAGUUGGCCUUUUAAUCGAGACAGUUGAAAGGCACAAUCAAAUAAACAGUAGCAGCAUCGACACAUUUGAACAAAGAAAUUAUUGUGCAUAAAACAUUUUAGAUCAUCUAUAUCAAGAAAUAACAACACCUUGUUACAGAAAAUGACGUAUAUAUGACGUUUCACGUCCAUAAAGUAGCCUGAAGAAUAACCUGGUAAUACUAUCGAUGGCAACAUAUUAUUCUUCAGGGUUACAAUCACUAAUGUGCCUCAAAUUGAGGAACUCAUAAGCAGUGCGUAAACAAGAAUACCAACGCAGUACCACACACUAGUGUCAUUGGACAUGUUUCAAUUAACCGUACUUUACAACUUGUGCUGACUUAGAGAGCAGAGGACCAUAUAAUAAAGGUGUAACAACUAUAGAGUUAGAUGUAUGCAUAUAACUAAAUGUUCUUAAUGGUUGAAAAAAACCAAUUGUAUUUACUAAUUGAAAAUUAAGCUGAAUAAAAUCAUUUAAGACAGCAGAGAAGAUAAUUCUUUAUUAAUUGUUUAUUACUCAGACUUAAAUAAAGAGAGAGCUAUUUAUACUGUAAAUUUAUGAUGUCUCUGGUCUGGUCAAUGGGUCAGAGCUGUCCUAACUAAUGAAACGAUAAACUGUUGAAAUUUUAGAACAUUUUUUCUCGUGCAGAGAAAAUUCACUUGUGACCAGAGCAUGAUUGGAUUACAUCUUUCUUAUUGGUCAAUGAUCUUGCGGGGUCAGCACGAGCUCACGUGUAAGUGUGGUGUGGUCAUUCCCUUUUAUCAUCAGCCUUUGGCGUGUUAACUUGUAAUUUUUAUCAAACAAUUUGUGAAUAAUUUAAAUUUGAUGUAUAUUUUUGGACUGGAGUAAUUUCCUUUUGCAAUUUGAGGUAAAAUCGAACUAUACUUUUAUGUUUUAGCUAUUUUAUGCUUACAUUCUGGACAAACUUACAGUUACUUUUGACCAUUCUUUCAUUCGUAUAGAUUACACGAUUUUGUUGUAUGCAAUACACGUAGCAGUUGGUCAAAUUCAUCUCUUUGUGAUAGAGAUAUUGGUGUAAAAUUAAUUUUGGUGUUGUUGGUGACACUGUGCGUUUGCGAUCAAAUUGUACUUAUUUACCAUACUUAUGGAAAAUUAUAGCUGAUGAUAAACCCGAUGUUGUAUUUUUACAAGUUACUGAAUCCUUAAUAGCAUAUGUCGUUGUACAUUUAAAUGUAAAAGGCAUCCUAAUGUUUGCAGAACGUAUAAGAUCCGCCUGACGUAUCUGUAUGAGACAUGGUUCAAUUAAAUAGAAAUACAAAAUGUUAUGGGCAUAUGCUCAUUAACAAUGAAUGGUAAAGACCUAUUUCAUAUAUAUAUAUGAUAAUAAUAAUUAUAUGCUAAUAAUAAUAAUAAUAAUAAUAACGAUAUUAACACACAUGAUAGAAUGAAAAGUUACAUACUUAUAUAUGAUAUUAUUAACUAUUCCAUACAUUUACACUCUUAUAUGAAAGUGGCAGACAAUAUAAGUUUUAAGGCUAAGCUAUGGUUUAUUGUUUUACAAACCAAUUUGCCUUUCUUGUUUUGGGUAAGGUGGACGAUAUUGUGAUUGGUGCAGAGGGCGUGGUUGCUUGUACUUAUGACCUCUGUGUAUUUGCUUUUGCAAAUAUAUUUUGUGUAGUGUUCAUUGUUUUGUGCUAUUUCACGAAACUCAUGCUACUUUCGUAAAUCUCGUCAUGGUGCUUGGUUUGGAGCACAUUUUUGUAAGUUAGUCUAUUCGCCAAUUUGCCUGUACUGGCCUGUUUGGGUAAUGUGAACUAUAUUUUGAUUGUUGCAGAGGGCGUGGAUGCUUGUACUUAUGUCCUCUGUGCAUUUGUUUGUGCAGAGGUCGUGGUAGCUUGGACUUAUGACCUUUGUGUAUUUGCUUUUGCAAAUAUGUUAUUAUGUAGUGGGUAUUUGUUUAUGCUUCGUCAUGAAACUCAUGCUACUUUUUUUGGCAGAGGUUGUGGUAGCUUGGACUUAUGACAUCUGUGUAUUUGCUUUUGCAAAUAUGUUAUUAUGUAGUGAGUAUUGUUUCAUGGUUCGUCAUGAAACUUAUGCUACUUUUAUUCGCAGAGGUUGUGGUAGCUUUGACUUAUGACCUCUGUGUAUUCGCUUUUGCAAAUAUGUUAUUAUGUAGUGGGUAUCGUUUAAUGCGUCGUCAUGAAACUCAUGCUACUUUGUUAUUUCGUCAUGGUGAUUGGUUUGGAAUAAAUUAUUUUGUAAUUAAUUCUUUCGCUAGUUUCUCAUGUUUGUCAGUAUUUUAAUACAUGUUUCUAAUGUAUUAGUUAAAUUAUAUUUACUAGUAUAAUUCAUAUAGUUUGGGUUGCGAUGAACUUAAUUGAUAAUUUUUAUACCAAUACUAAAGCAAUGUAAGGUCGUAUGCUUUUACUUUAUAAUAGAUUUACUAUUAAAAAGAACAAUGGACAAGACAUACGUUAUCAAUACACUGAUAAUAUUUUAAAGUUCAUACUCUCCUUUUAAUACAUGAUAUAUAUGUUUUAUGGUUGAUUGAUUGAAGAAAAAAGAAUUUAAAAAAAAAAAUUAAAAAAAAAAUUAUCGCAUAUUAUACCUUGACAUGUGUUAUGUUUGUUGUUUUAGAUUUAGAUCGAGUUUGUUAUAUAAUGUGACAAUUUUUGUUUUUCAUUAUUUUACAUUUUAAUUUUGUUUAUUUCAUGUUUUAACUAUGGACGAAGAGAGCUGAGUCUGGUAUUUAUCUACGAAUGGACUUUCGCCCAUUGAAGGAGUUAUGCAAUACAGCGUGAUAUCAACAAUUUACAUGUACUUUUAUAUAUCAGUGGUAUGUCAUAGUUCCGAUAAUACAAACAAACGAAUGUUGAUGGGUUGCUGUUUCACUGACGUUUAUGACGCAAACGUGAUUUCGAGAUUAAAAUUUUGAUCUGGACGUUCGAGUCUUCAUCAACAAUAAUUCUUGACUGGCUAAAUCUACUUUGACUGUUUUAUCAAUACUAAUUUACAAAAGGUGUCUUCGAUCAGCAUUUGGAUACACAACUGGACCCUAGUUCUAAUGAAAGUUUGAAGCACCAGUUGCACGCUCUUAUUUCACCAUCUCUUUAAAGUUUGCUCUGUCGUAAAAUUAGUUUCGACUCUCGGUACUAUACAGCACCUAGGUUUAGAAAAAAGACUUCUGCUGCAGCUCAUGGAUUGAAUUCUCGUAUCCGCGAUUCAAGGAUUGAAGUCAAAUGCGUUUAUUGAAUUUUACAGGAUAAAAAUGAUUAAGUUAGUAACAGAAUUUUAUGCUUCAGCUGUUUUGUGUCAGUCUUGCCUUCCAAAACUUUUAUGAUCUUUAUUUCAUACAAUUACAACCAUCUUGUUUUGGGUCAGCAUUGGCUGCCAAAACGUUUUAUGAUCUUUAUUUCAUAUAAUUAAAACUAUCUUGUUUUGGGUCAGCAUUGCCUUCCAAAACGUUUGAUGAUCUUUAUUUCAUACAAUUACAACUAUCUUGUUUUGGGUCAGCAUUGCCUUCCAAAACGUUUGAUGAUCUUUAUUUCAUACAAUUACAACUAUCUUGUUUUGGGUCAGCAUUGCCUGCCAAAACGUUUUAUGAUCUGUAUUUCAUAUAAUUAAAACUAUCUUGUUUUGGGUCAGCAUUGCCUACCAAAACGGGUAUACGAUCUUAAGUAAAAAAUGCUAUGCUUCUGUUUUGGGUCAGCAUUGCCUGCCAAAACGUUUAUAUGAUCUUUAGUAAUAAAAUUCCAUGCUUCUUUUUUGGGUCAGCAUUGCAUGCUAAAACGUUUUUAUGAGCUUUAGUAAUAAAACGCUAUGCUUCUGUUUACGGUCAGUAUUGCCUGUCAAAACGUUUAUAUGAUCUUUAUUUCAUACAAUUACAACUAUCUUGUUUUGGGUCAGCAUUGCCUGCCAAAACCUUUAUUAUCUUUAUUUCAUACGGAUGGGGUCAUUAUUGUCUGCCCUCCUGAUGUCUACAUUUUGUUAAGACUGCCAACUUCAUGUAUGUAUACAUGAAUUGUUUUAGAUCAUGUUAUGAUUGUCAGCGUUGCCUAUUUUAUUUUAGUUUCCAAUUUAUCAAAUUAUAUAUAUAAAACGACUUGAUGGUUUAUCCCAAUUUUGUACUAAAUGUUAUGGUCUUUAGAGGUCAAUCUAUCAAAAACCAGUAAUUUUAUUUACCUAAACUGGUUAUUAUUUAAAAGAAUAUUUUUCUUUCGAGAAAGAUAUUAGAGUAUGUGUCAAUAAUUAUAAAUAUUCACUAGGUUUAAAAUUAACAUCUCGUGGACUUUUAACGCAAGGUAAAGAAAAAUAAUACAAAAAAAUCAUUAAAAGCUGUAUUUAGAUUUCAAAGAUAUUUUUCAUCUUUUAACUUAACUACGACCAUACAAUAUAAACCCUUUUAUGGCAUUCAAAUUACAAGUAUGUUCAGAACGAUCUCUUUAGCAUGCCAGGAAAAAAAAUGAAUAUGAAUAUGUAUUUCAAUAAUUUAUAGCAAUGAUAUUCAUUAAAUUUAUUUUUUAUUCUAAAAAUUUAAAAUUUAAUUUUUUUUUUUUUUUUUUUUUCUUUUAUAGAAAAAUCAAAUUCCCGAUAUAAAUGAAGUGAUUUUUAAGUGUAAAUGAAAAGUCUUCUAGCUUAGCAGUGCUAAGUAAAUUUGGUAGAUUCCCGUUAUUUUUUUAUAGUGGUAUUAUCAAUAUGAAAUAUUACUAUUAAUAUCGAAUGCUGGUAUUAACCCAUUCAUUAAAUUUCUAAAAAGCUGAACAUUCAAAAUUAUUAUUAAAGCUUAUUUUUUUUAUCAAGUCCUGAGUUAAGCAAAAUUUUCUAAAGUCUCACAUCAAUUGGGAAUACAACAAAAAUUAACUCAGAGUAAAACAGUUCUAAAUUAGAUACUUAUUUCAAUUACAAAAACUUGGUUUCCUAAAGAAAUUUAUUUGUCUUUGUAUAAUUUCGAUUGAAAAAUGCCAAAUGUAAAAUGAGAAUCAGUGACCACGAUCCCAUAAUAGAAAGAGUCAGAUAUAAAACUUCCUAUUUAGAAAGAAGUCAGGGCUUUGUAAAAAUGUACUUUUAUUUUGUUUGAAGAUUAAAUAUGAACAACAUUUUAUUAUUAGUUGUCCAGUACACAAUGAUUAUGGAGAGAUAUCAGAUCACUCAAAUGAGGCAAAAAUGUUUUCUGUUAAUUACUGUACUAAUACUGAUUGUCUGUACUAAAAUAUUUAGGGGAUAAUGUUAUUAGAUGUUGAGAUGUAAGACGAAAUGUGAAUACAUAUAUUAAAUAACGAUGAUUAUUGUAACUUUAUUGCUGCAGUCCUGUCCGUAAUAACAUUUACACCUUCAGUCAUGUUUAUCAGCAGAGAUAAUUAAAAGGUAAUAUAUGUAGGUUUAUUAUUAUAUGAACUUUUAAUAUAUCACCUGAAUGUGGAAACGUUUUAUAAAAACAUAGUGUUAUUUUUUGGUGUAUUUGAGUGUCAUGCUUCCAAAUUCUAAUAAGUUAUAUAUAAAUUGUAUUCACGUCGCCAGAGUCAUCGGAUAGGGAUCCACUUUUUCAACCUCAGAGUGGAUUUGUGGCAGAUUUUGCUCCCCACAUUUGCUAUUUUUUGUCAUUUAUUCAAUUGAUAUGAUUUUAGUUGAUGUAAUUUCGUAUUAAUUAUGUAUUAUAAUUUCAUAUCAAUUAUGAACUUUUAUGUCAAAUGUUUUAUUUGCAAAAUGUAUUUUUUGCAUUUAAUGAUUUUGAAUAAAUGACCUUUUUUCGUCAA